rnacentral:rRNA from 1 species
ACGCUGGCGGCACGCCUAAUACAUGCAAGUCGAACGAAGUAGCAAUACUUAGUGGCAGACGGGUGAGUAACAUGUGGGUAUCUUCCCUAUGGUGAGGAAUAACACGAGGAAACUUGUGCUAAUACCUCAUAAGUCUUUACAGAGAAAGCUUUAUGCGCCAUUGGAUGAGCCCGCACUUGAUUAGUUUGUUGGUAGGGUAAUGGCCUACCAAGACUUUGAUCAAUAGCUGAUUUGAGAGGAUGAUCAGCCACAUUGGGACUGAGACACGGCCCAAACUCCUACGGGAGGCAGCAGUAGGGAAUCUUGCACAAUGGAGGAAACUCUGAUGCAGCGAUGCCGCGUGAGUGAAGAAGGCCUUUGGGUUGUAAAGCUCUUUCGUCGGGGAAGAAAAUGACUGUACCCGAAUAAGAAGGUCCGGCUAACUUCGUGCCAGCAGCCGCGGUAAUACGAAGGGACCUAGCGUAGUUCGGAAUUACUGGGCUUAAAGAGUUCGUAGGUGGUUAAAAAAGUUGGUGGUGAAAGCCCAGAGCUUAACUCUGGAAUGGCCAUCAAAACUUUUUAGCUAGAGCAUGAUAGAGGAAAGCAGAAUUUCUAGUGUAGAGGUGAAAUUCGUAGAUAUUAGAAAGAAUACCAAUUGCGAAGGCAGCUUUCUGGAUCAUUACUGACACUGAGGAACGAAAGCAUGGGUAGCGAAGAGGAUUAGAUACCCUCGUAGUCCAUGCCGUAAACGAUGUGUGUUAGAUGUUGGAAAAUUAUUUUUCAGUAUCGCAGCGAAAGCAGUAAACACACCGCCUGGGGAGUACG